rnacentral:rRNA from 1 species
UACAGAGGUCCCCAAGCGUUGUUCGGAUUCACUGGGCGUAAAGGGUGCGCAGGUGGUUCGGCAAGUUCGAUGUGAAAGCCCCGGGCUUAACCCGGGAAUGGCAUUGAAAACUGCCGGACUGGAGGGUCGGAGGGGGGACUGGAAUUCUUGGUGUAGCAGUGAAAUGCGUAGAUAUCAAGAGGAACACCAGUGGCGAAGGCGAGUCCCUGGACGAUACCUGACACUGAGGCACGAAAGCCAAGGGAGCAAACAGGAUUAGAAACCCUGGUAGU